rnacentral:rRNA from 1 species
CCCCGGCUGCUGUUUCCCUUAUUACGCUUUCGCCUUUGCGGAAAAUUCCCCCCUGCUGCCUCCCGUAGG